UACGGAGGGGGCUAGCGUUGUUCGGAAUUACUGGGCGUAAAGCGCACGUAGGCGGCUUUGUAAGUUAGAGGUGAAAGCCCAGGGCUCAACCCUGGAAUUGCCUUUAAGACUGCAUCGCUUGAACAUCGGAGAGGUAAGUGGAAUUCCGAGUGUAGAGGUGAAAUUCGUAGAUAUUCGGAAGAACACCAGUGGCGAAGGCGACUUACUGGACGAUUGUUGACGCUGAGGUGCGAAAGCGUGGGGAGCAAAC
rnacentral:rRNA from 4 species